rnacentral:rRNA from 1 species
CGGCGUGGAUAAGACAUGCAAGUCGAACGGAAGUUUGCUGGUAGCAAUAUUAGCAAACUUGAGUGGCGAAAGGGUGCGUAACACGUAGCUAUCUACCUUGAAGUGGGGGAUAUCUCCGAGAAAUCGGAGUUAAUACCGCAUGUGAUUGUAAGAUCAAAGCUGGGGAUCGUAAGACCUGGCGCUUUAAGAUGAGGCUGCGGCCUAUCAGCUAGUUGGCGGGGUAACGGCCCACCAAGGCUAAGACGGGUAGCUGGUCUGAGAGGACGACCAGCCACACUGGAACUGAGACACGGUCCAGACACCUACGGGUGGCAGCAGUCGAGGAUUUUUCUCAAUGGGGGAAACCCUGAAGGAGCGACGCCGCGUGAGGGAUGAAGGUCUUCGGAUUGUAAACGUCUGUCAUCUGGGAACAAUGUGAUCUACCUAACAC